AGAGUUUGAUCAUGGCUCAGAUUGAACGCUGGCGGCGUGCCUAACACAUGCAAGUCGAUCGGUAACGCGGGGGCAACCCUGGCGACGAGAGGCGGACGGGUGAGCAACGCUUGGGAAUCUGCCCAUCAGCGGGGGACAACCCGGGGAAACCCGGGCUAAUACCGCAUACGCUCUACGGAGGAAAGCCGGGGACCGCAAGGCCUGGCACUGAUGGAUGAGCCCAAGUCGGAUUAGCUAGUUGGCGGGGUAACGGCCCACCAAGGCGACGAUCCGUAGCUGGUCUGAGAGGACGAUCAGCCACACCGGAACUGAGACACGGUCCGGACUCCUACGGGAGGCAACAGUGGGGAAUAUUGGACAAUGGGGGAAACCCUGAUCCAGCGACGCCGCGUGGGUGAAGAAGGCCUGCGGGUUGUAAAGCCCUUUCGGUAGGGACGAAAGCUUCCGACCUAACACGUCGGGAGGUUGACUUAACCUACAAAAGAAGCACCGGCUAACUCUGUGCCAGCAGCCGCGGUAAUACAGAGGGUGCGAGCGUUAAUCGGAAUUACUGGGCGUAAAGCGCACGUAGGCGGCUUUGCAAGUCGGUUGUGAAAUCCCCGGGCUCAACCAGGGAACUGCAUCCGAGACUGCUUUGCUCGAGUAUGGGAGAGGGAAGUGGAAUUUCCGGUGUAGCGGUGAAAUGCGUAGAUAUCGGAAGGAACAUCAGUGGCGAAGGCGACUUCCUGGACCAAUACUGACGCUUAGGUGCGAAAGCGUGGGGAGCAAACAGGAUUAGAUACCCUGGUAGUCCACGCCCU
rnacentral:rRNA from 1 species